CCUUACCUGAGUGGCUUUGUGGAAUUGCUUCUUGAGCCCGGCCACCGACAUGACUCCAGGAGCACGUGUGCUGUGGGGGUUUGUUCACCACUGCAUGCCCAGGAUAGUGCUGACGGCCUGGUGCACAGCAGGUGUUCACAAGGAAGAUUAACCCUGAGCUAACAUCUGCUGCCAAUCCUCCUC